GAAAGCAAUAGUCGCGUCGCC
rnacentral:snRNA from 1 species